AUACAUUCGUUUCACUACCAUGGGGUUAAAAGGUAGUUUGAUUUAUUAAAAUUCAUCAAACAUAGAGUUUUCUGUUAUAUAAAGCACUUGAAGUAAAUCUGAAAUACAUUUAACUUAGGGUACAGUCAUGCAGAAAUAUAAGAUAGGGUUUAUUUUGAUAGUACCAACACUGCCAUUGAUCACAAAUAUUAAUGUAAUUUACAAAUCAAAUACAUAAUUAUCAAAGUAGAACAUUUGCUCAGUUACUCACUGGUCUAAAUUUUAUGCCACUUGCAAUAAUUAUGCUAUCAAGAAUUUAAUAAUCAUGCAUAUGGGAUAGCUUCCCCAAUAUUUGUCUUUAACUCUAGCACAAGGACUAACUACUAACCAUGCCACGAUGUAUGUACCCAAUAGGCUUAGCAAGUUUCUCCAUCUAAGAUCACAUCUAUCAAUAUAUUUUCCCCACUAUGCUAGAAAUUCGACAGUUACAUGGGAAAAGAAAUCAUAUGAAGAAAAUGAAACUUCUUCUUGCUCAUCACAGAAACGAGAAACUACCUCCAUCAUCACUUCCACAACCUCUUAACCACAAAGCAACCCUGCCCAGUCUGUGCUUCCUCCUUCUUUUUAUAUCACUGCGACGAUCUUGGCAGGGGAAAACAAAGCAGAAACAGAACCCAGCAUUUCACAUUAAUGUAACAGUCUUGCUACCUGCAAGACAGAGUGGGGAGGGUUGUGUGUGAGCAUUACAGUCAGCCUCCCGCCCCCUGGAUGAUGGCAUAAUGCUGAUCAUACCCUGAUGGUGAGCAUGCAGCUUGCAGAGGAACCAGCUCGCUGCAACAGAGGCUUAGCGCCUAGCUGCGCUUUGAGCUGGCAGGGGCAAUCUUCAUAUUCUGUACUGCAAAAUCACAGGAAGGGCUGUUUAUAAACCUGUGAAAGGAGGAAUUUGAUUUCAAAGGAAAAGGCUUUAGAGGAAUUCCAGCUGCCUGGCACAUAGUCUGUUUCUCCUGCCUUCAUCCUCAUGGGGCUCCUUCCCUUCUCUAUGGUAAUCUCAGCACUUCGGGGGGCCAAGGCAGGCUGAUCGCUUGAGUCCAGGAGUUUGGGACCAGACUAGGCAACAUGGUGAAGCCUAGUCCAAACAACAGAAAUGUAUUUCUCAUAGUUCUGGAGGCUAGAAGUCCAAGAUCAGGAUGCUAGCUUGGUGGUUCCAGUGAGAGCCCUCUUUGAAGUUGCAAAUGGUCAGCUUG
rnacentral:lncRNA from 1 species